UGGCGUAAACAAAGGGAAGCGAGCCUGUGAAGGGGAGCAAAUCCCAAAAAUAACGUCCCAGUUCGGAUUGUAGUCUGCAACCCGACUACAUGAAGCUGGAAUCGCUAGUAAUCGCGAAUCAGAAUGUCGCGGUGAAUACGUUCCCGGGUCUUGUACACACCGCCCGUCACACCAUGGGAGUCGGAAAUGCCCGAAGUCAGUGACCCAACCGUAAGGAGGGAGCUGCCGAAGGUGGAGCCGGUAACUGGGGUGAAGUCGUAACAAGGUACC
rnacentral:rRNA from 1 species